rnacentral:tRNA from 1 species
GGGGCCGUGAUCUAGCUUGGUCCAGGAUGCCACCCUGGGGCGGUGGUAGUCCCGGGUUCAAAUCCCGGCGGCCCCA